GGACAUGCAUGAUUUUCAUUCAAGAUCAAAUCCUGAAAAAGCUGAUGAUUAUUGUAUUUGUAUUUUUAGACAGGACGUGGAGUGUGCCACAUCAGUAACUGACCAAUUCUUCAAAGAAACAGAUCUUCGGAACAAUUAAUAUAAUUCAGAAGAAGAGGUUUGAAAUGAGUCUGAAAACCAUUUACAUCAUCCUCCUAUCUGUCACUUUGUAUGAAGUUUCGUCAUCCAGCUGUAAAGCAAAAAAUGGAGACGAAGAUCAAGAUUGCUCAAAGAGAUAUUCAGGUUGGUAUAAAAAAUCUCAACUUGCAUAUUCAUGCAUUUGAAUGACCUUUUGAAAUUCAUUUAUCAGCAACUUCAAAAAAUUGAAAAAUAAUUUGCAAGUUAUACAUUUAAUUAGUAAUGUUUUGUGGUUAGAUAAAAUAGGAGUUUAAGAAAACAACAGAGAGUGGGGAGGUGAUAGUAAUAAAACAGACUGUAUUGUCCUAAAAAAUGAAAAUCCAUCAUCCAAUAUAGUUCCUGUCCAAUGGAGUUAAA